AGGUCAUAGUGAUCCGGUGGUUCUGAAUGGAAGGGCCAUCGCUCAACGGAUAAAAGGUACUCCGGGGAUAACAGGCUGAUACCGCCCAAGAGUUCAUAUCGACGGCGGUGUUUGGCACCUCGAUGUCGGCUCAUCACAUCCUGGGGCUGAAGUAGGUCCCAAGGGUAUGGCUGUUCGCCAUUUAAAGUGGUACGCGAGCUGGGUUUAGAACGUCGUGAGACAGUUCGGUCCCUAUCUGCCGUGGGCGUUGGAGAAUUGAGAGGGGCUGCUCCUAGUACGAGAGGACCGGAGUGGACGCAUCACUGGUGUACCAGUUGUCUCGCCAGAGGCAUUGCUGGGUAGCUAAAUGCGGAAGAGAUAAGUGCUGAAAGCAUCUAAGCACGAAACUCGCCUUAAGAUGAGUUCUCCCUAGCUAUAAGCUAGUAAGGGUUGUUGGAGACUACGACGUAGAUAGGUCUGGUGUGUAAGCGGUGUGAGCCGUUGAGCUAACAGAUACUAAUUGCCCGAGAGGCUUAACU
rnacentral:rRNA from 1 species